UCGCUUUGGCAGCGCAUACACUCAAAAUUGGAACGAUACGGAGGAGAUUAGCAUGGCCCCCGCACAAGGGUGACACGCAGACUGGUAAAGUGUUACAUAUUUUA
ensembl:snRNA U6 U6 spliceosomal RNA